GACGCAGAUGCCUCACCUCGCCUGAGAAAGGCUAAUAAAUUGGAGCUCAGCCGGUCGAGAGCGCCACACACCACGAAGCAUAGCAAGCUCGCGGACGUUCUUGGUGUGCCGCGGCGACGUCUGGCGCUUCACAUCGCAGCAACAUGGUCCUCAGCGUUUGUUUUCUGCUCGCUCUGAUGGUGUCCCAAACCUUGGGACGAGGGGUGGACAGCAAACUCUCGAAGGUCGUGGCGCAGGCUCUGGGCGAGAAAGCUCACGCGAAGGACUGCUGCCAGGGUCGCCAUCGGCUCACCGAGGCGGAACUCCAGUGGGGAAAAGAACUCGUCCAGAACGUUUACAUCGCCAGCGAAACUGUGAAGAGACUACCCAAGACGGCGUUCUACAGCGACGAAGAAGUCUGCUACGACGGCCUGGGAUGCUUCAGCCAGCUGGACGACUGCUCGCAUUCCAUCACGCUCCCUUCCAGCCCCGAGGAGGUGAAGACCAAGUUCGCGCUCUACGACCGCCAGCAGAGGGCGAACCCGGUCUACCUGGACUACCUGGACAACUCGACUUUGGACGUGGACAAGUUCAACGGGACCAAGGACCUGGUCUUCCUGGUGCACGGCUUCGGUGAGAGCGGCAACAGUUCCUGGAUACUGCAGAUGAAGGACGCCUUUCUUGACAUGGAAGAUGUGAACGUCGUGGCCGUAGACUGGGAGGAGGGCUGCCUACAGCCCAUGUACAUCACUGCCGCCGCCAACACGGCGCUUGUGGGCAGGCAGAUCUCGCGGCUGCUUCAACUCCUGACCGAAAGGCACCCGAGAACCGUGGUUCCGGCUCGGGUGCACGUGGUCGGAUUCAGUCUCGGAGCCCAGGUGGCGGGCUUCGCGGGAAGGCACUUCGGCAGGACAACCGAGACGAAGAUUGGACGGAUCUCUGCUCUCGAUGCGGCGGGUCCGUUGUUCGAGAGCUACAACUUCCACGUGUGCAAGGAAGACGCCAGGUUCGUGGACGCCAUCCACACGAGCGCGGGCAACGACCUGCUCAAGGGCAGCCUGGGCAUGGAGAAGCCCUUCGGCGACGCCAACUUCUACCCCAACGGAGGGAGGUCCCAACCCGGCUGCUGGUUCUUCGAUAUAGCGUGCCACCAUCGCCGUGCCGUGGAGUACUUCAUGGAAUCCAUCCAGUCGGCCAAGAGUUGCCGGUUCCGGGCGCACAAGUGUCCGGAAGGUCUGGACGCUUUCCUCAAGCGAAACUGCAGCGACUCCGGGGACGACCUUGGCGAGAUGGGCUACCACAGCCCGGACGCCAAAGGAAGGGGAGAGCAGUACCUGUGGACCAACGACGACUGUCCGUUCUGCUUGAGUUAGGACGACGAGGACGCUCUAAAGACAGCCGAGACGUCCGUCCCUCGUCACUUAGAUCCGCGUUCACACUGUACAUCGUACAACAGGCAGUCUCCAGACGCAGUCUGAGGAGCGUUCCUUUCUGCGUACGACGGCCCUGUCAGAUUUGUCGGACAAAAAGUUGUUUCCAGGCAUGUUCGAAGCAUGCAUACGUGUGAAGCCUUCGAACAUGCUUCAAGCAGAGAUAAUUCUGUCGUCGUGCCUGCAGCGAACACCCCGUAUUUUGCACUAAUUAUGUAUGAACAACAUGACUGCGUCUUCUAAGUUGUCGAUUUGUACAUAUUCACCUUCAUCAGGAUAGGCGCGUGUAUUUUUACGCCUGCACCCAAUGCAGAAAGCAAAUUUCACGGCAAGGCUCAUCACGAAAAAAAAAAAAAAAAGAAAAAAAAAGAGAAUGCAACAUACAUUUUGUAUUUUUUGUUCAUCCGCAUGCAACUUCAUCGUCACCACCCCUUCAUCAAUCACUCCGUCACCUCAUACCGACUAUUCCUUGUCUGCUAAAAAAAGGAGUUUUUUUUUCUCUCUUUUGCAAUCAUUUUUUUACUUCUUCCCUUCAGUUUUGUUUUCUUCUGACGAAAAGGCAAACAGCGCGCAGAAAACGGGGACAAGAGGAAGUGCAGACAGGACAAGCGCUGACUCUCAACUGAAAUUUAAUCACAAGGAAACAAAACAAAGAAAACAGCAACCCCGCCCACGUCACAUGACACAUUCACCACGUGUCCAAUGAAUGGAUGGAUGGACGCUAAUAGCUGUACCCUUUGUAAGGAGCGGUAGGUUGCGACACCAAGAAAUGGCAACCGCCAGUGCUACUCGAUAGGGUCUUGAAAAGAGCUCGUUGUUUCUAAAAAAAAGAAAAAAAUCGUCGACUCCAUUUUGAGAUCUAAGAUCGCAAUCUCUUCACGAUCAUCGUCCUGGCUGAUGCACGUUAAACCUGCCAUUAUCGCAGCUGUACUUUGAUAGAAACGUAUUUAUCUCCUACAGCGUAUGAAGCGGUGCCUUUUUUUUCAGUCAUAUGUGAACCAUUGAUGAAUUCAACUUUAUAAUAAAACACAAAGCCCAAGCUGCCUCA
rnacentral:misc_RNA from 1 species